GGGAGUCACUUUAAAGGCUCUUUCUUACCCAUAAUGCUUUGUGGGGACGUUGACAAGUGGAUCCAAGAUGGCGUAGAAAGUAAUGACAGGAAUUGGAUGAAGUAAUUGAUCACUAAUGAACUACAGAGCCGGUGAGAUGUACAAGAAAUUAUAAAGAGCUCUGAUGGGCGAUUUGGGUGAUACGCAGUGCAGUGAACUGCAGGAUUUUUGUCCCUGAGUCAUGGAAGACAGAAGAGCUGAAAGGUCAUGUGAACAAGCGUGCGCGUCACUGCAGAGGCAGGACUAUGACAUGGCCCUCCAGCAUUGCACAGACGCCCUGCUCUCUCUUGGCCAGUACUCCAUGACAGACUUCGCAGGGCCGUGCCCAGUGGAGAUUGAGCGCAUCAAAAUCGAGAGUCUUCUGUACAGAAUUGCCUCAUUCUUGCAGUUGAAAAACUACGGGCAAGCUGAUGAAGAUUGUAGGCAUGUGCUGGGGGAAGGACUGGCCAAGGGAGAGAGCGCCUUCCGGGCAGUGCUGUGCUGCAUGCAGCUGAAGGGGAAGCUCCAGCCUGUGUCCUCCAUCCUUGCCCAGUCACUGUCAGGGGAGUCUCUGAAUGGGAUGGUAACGAAGGAUUUGACAAGACUCAAGACACUUCUCGCAGAGACAGAGACAGCAACAAGUAAUGCCCCCUCUGGCUGUCAUGUGGAAGACUUAGAUGAAGGGUCUUGUAAUGGUUGGCAUUUCCGCCCACCGCCCAGGGGGAUCACCAGCAGUGAGGAGUACACCUUGUGUAAAAGGUUUUUAGAGCAAGGGAUCUGUAGGUACGGUGCCCAGUGUACUUCAGCACAUUCCCAGGAAGAACUAGCAGAAUGGCAGAAGAGAUAUGCCUCGCGGCUGAUAAAACUGAAGCAGCAGAGUGAGAACAAACAGCUCUCAGGCAGCUACAUGGAGACCUUGAUAGAAAAGUGGAUGAGCUCACUGUCCCCUGAGAAAGUGCUUAGCGAAUGCCUAGAGGGAGUCCAGGUGGAGCACAGCCCUGACCUGUCAGUCACCGUCAACACCAAAAAGUCCCACCAGACAUGGACCUUUGCUCUGACCUGUAAGCCUGCAAGAAUGCUGUGUCGGGUAGCCUUGCUCUAUGAUGCUCAUCGUCCUCAUUUUAGUAUCAUUGCCAUAUCUGCCGGAGAUAGUACUGCCCAGGUAUCACAAGAAGUCCCCGAGAACUGUCAAGAAUGGAUAGGAGGAGAGAUGGCCCAAAAUGGAUUAGAUCAUUACGUGUAUAAAGUCGGGAUAGCAUUUAACACAGAAAUAUUUGGAACUUUUCGCCAAACCAUAGUUUUCGACUUUGGAUUGGAGCCAGUACUCAUGCAAAGAGUAAUGAUUGACGCAGCUUCUACAGAAGAUCUUGAGUACCUGAUGCAUGCCAAGCAGCAGCUGGUAACCACAGCCAGGCGCUGGGAGCCUUCCUCCAAGACUAUUGUAGACUUUGAACCUAACGAGACUACUGAUUGGGAGAAGAGCCUUUUGAUCAGAUACCAAAUUCCUCUCUCUGCUGACCAGCUGUUUACACAGUCCGUUUUAGACAAAUCCUUGACCAAGACUAACUAUCAGUCACGGCUACACGACCUGCUUUAUAUUGAGGAGAUAGCCCAGUAUAAAGAAGUCAGCAGGUUAAAUGGAAUAGAACCUGUUAAAGUACCUAUUUGUGUUCACUGUGCAAAGUUCAACCUUAAGGUGCAGCUGCAGAUCUUAGCAAGCUUCAUGCUCACUGGAGUUUCUGGGGGUGCAAAGUAUGCUCAGAAUGGACAACUUUUUGGUCGUUUUAAACUUACUGAAACCCUGUCUGAAGACACUUUGGCUGGACGACUGGUGAUGACCAGGGUCAAUGCUGUUUAUUUAUUACCAGUCCCUAAAGAGAAGCUCGUCCAGUCCCAGGGAACCAAAGAGAAGGUUUAUGAAGCUACUAUUGAAGAAAAAACAAAAGACUAUGUAUUUUUAAGGAUAUCCAGGGAAUGCUGUGAAGAGCUCAGUCUGCGGCCUGACUGUGACACCCAGGUUGAGCUUCAGUUUCAGUUGAACCGAUUACCCCUCUGUGAAAUGCAUUAUGCACUAGACAGGAUUAAGGACAAUGGUGUUUUGUUUCCAGACAUCAGUAUGACUCCCACUAUACCUUGGAGUCCCAACAGACAGUGGGAUGAGCAGUUGGAUCCUCGACUAAAUGCAAAGCAGAAAGAAGCUGUGCUGGCCAUCACCACUCCGCUCUGCAUCCAGCUGCCCCCCGUUCUUAUCAUUGGACCCUACGGGACGGGUAAAACCUUCACUCUGGCUCAGGCCGUCAAGCACAUACUGCAGCAGCAGGAGACGAGCAGGAUUCUCAUUUGCACCCAUUCUAAUAGUGCUGCUGACCUCUACAUAAAGGAUUAUUUACAUCCCUAUGUAGAAGCAGGCAAUGCCCAGGCAAGACCUCUCAGGGUGUAUUUCCGAAAUCGCUGGGUGAAGACUGUUCACCCGGUUGUGCAUCAGUACUGUUUGAUCUCAAGCGCACACUCCACCUUUCAGAUGCCCCAGAAGGAAGAUAUUCUUAAACAUCGAGUGGUGGUGGUCACACUGAACACUUCCCAGUACCUCUGCCAGCUGGACCUUGAACCUGGGUUCUUCACGCACAUUCUGUUAGAUGAAGCUGCCCAGGCCAUGGAGUGUGAGACCAUUAUGCCUCUAGCCUUAGCAACUAAAAACACACGGAUUGUUUUGGCUGGUGACCAUAUGCAGCUCAGUCCUUUUGUUUACAGCGAGUUUGCCAGGGAGAGAAACCUUCAUGUUUCAUUACUUGAUCGACUCUACGAGCAUUACCCUGCCGAGUUUCCAUGCAGGAUCCUCCUCUGUGAGAACUAUCGCUCCCAUGAAGCUAUCAUCAACUAUACCUCUGAGCUCUUCUAUGAGGGUAAACUGAUGGCCAGUGGAAAGCAGCCAGCACACAAGGACUUCUACCCACUGACGUUCUUUACAGCACGAGGGGAGGACGUCCAAGAGAAGAACAGCACGGCAUUCUAUAACAAUGCAGAGGUAUUUGAAGUGGUGGAGCGUGUGGAAGAGCUAAGACGGAAGUGGCCAGUGGCAUGGGGGAAGUUAGACGACGGCAGCAUUGGUGUGGUGACACCAUACGCUGAUCAGGUGUUCAGAAUACGAGCUGAACUUCGGAAGAAGAGGCUCUCGGACGUGAAUGUAGAAAGGGUGCUCAAUGUCCAAGGAAAGCAAUUCAGAGUUCUGUUUCUUAGCACAGUGCGUACACGCCACACUUGCAAGCAUAAGCAGACGCCAAUUAAAAAGAAAGAGCAACUUCUGGAAGACUCCACCGAGGACUUAGAUUACGGGUUUCUAUCCAACUACAAACUUCUCAAUACCGCCAUUACCAGAGCACAGUCCCUGGUUGCUGUGGUGGGCGACCCCGUUGCUCUGUGCUCUAUUGGAAGGUGUAGAAAGUUUUGGGAGCGGUUUAUUGCCCUGUGUCAUGAAAACCACAGCUUGCACGGGAUCACAUUCGAACAGAUCAAGGCCCAGUUAGAGGCUUUAGAGCUCAAGAAGACUUACGUGUUGAACCCACUGGCUCCUGAAUUUAUUCCCCGGGCUUUCAGACUGCAGCAUUCAGGAAACAGUAGCAGACAGCAGCAGUCACCACCCAAGGUGAAAAGCCUCCAUCAUCCCCAGAAUGACCAUUUCCAGAAUGAUGGAAUUGUUCAGCCCAACCCUUCCGUACUUAUUGGCAAUCCUAUUAGAGCAUAUACUCCUCCACCCCCUCUUGGACCGCACCCAAACUUGGGGAAAUCUCCAAGCCCCGUUCAAAGAAUAGACCCUCACACUGGGACUAGUAUUCUUUACGUUCCUGCUGUCUAUGGAGGGAAUGUAGUUAUGUCGGUGCCUUUACCUGUGCCGUGGACAGGGUACCAGGGUAGGUUUGCAGUUGAUCCUCGGAUUAUUACACACCAGGCAGCGAUGGCCUACAAUAUGAAUUUGUUACACACACAUGGGCGUGGGUCGCCAAUCCCUUAUGGUCUUGGACAUCACCCACCUGUCAACCUAGGCCAGCCACAGAAUCAGCACGCAGAGAAGGAUCAACAGGAGCAAAAUCGAAACGGUAAAACUGAUACAAAUAACCCAGGACCUGAAAUUAAUAAGAUCCGAACACCAGAGAAAAAACCUACAGAACCCAAACAGAUUGAUUUGGAAUCAAAUCCACAGAACAGAAGUCCUGAAUCCCGUCCUGGUGUUGUUUAUUCCAAUACUAAAUUUCCUCGAAAAGAUAAUCUCAACCCAAGACACAUAAAUCUUCCUCUUCCUGCGCCACAUACACAGUAUGCAAUCCCUAGCCGCCAUUUUCAUCCGCUUCCUCAGCUACCCAGGCCACCAUUUCCCAUUUCCCAGCAGCACACCUUAUUAAAUCAGCAGCAGAAUAAUUUGCCUGAACAACCAAAUCAGAUGACACCUCAGCCAAAUCAGGUGGCACCCCAGCCAAAUCAGAUGGCACCCCAGCCAAAUCAGAUGGCACCCCAGCCAAAUCAGGUGGUCCAGCAGCAGAACCAGGCACCUCCACAGGCUCCACAGCCAGCACCUCAACUCUCUCCUGCAUUUCAGGCGGGGCCCACCAAUGCAUUUUUCAAUAAUGCAGUUGCUCAUCGACCACAGUCUCCUGCUGCAGAGGCUGUGGGUCCUGAGCAGCAGGUGCCUCCUGGGCUGUCCGACGGCCACAGUCCACUGAGAGCCAUCACACAGCCUGGCCCCAUCCUAGCAUCACCUUUGAACAACUUUGUUGAUGAGAGCUCUCCAGGAUUGCCUAUAGAAGAAGCUUUGGAUCGAGUGCAUGGAAGUGUAGCUCUGGAGACACUGAGGCAGCAGCAGGCACGGCUACAGCAGUGGAGUGAGCACCAUGCCUACCUGAGCCAGGGUGGCAUCCCGUAUUCACACCAUCACCAUCCUCACCUCGCCCAUCUUCCCCAGACUCCCAUUAGCCUCCACCAGCCACCAGUGAGAGCAGAGUGGAAAGUCGCCGGCAGGGCUGACGAUGAAACAGAGACAACAUUCUCAAGGUUUCAAGACUUACUCAGAGAGCUGUCCCAUCGGGAUCAAGGUGACACUGGAGAGCUAGCUGAAAUGCCACCGCCUCAGUCAAGACUUCUGCAGUACAGACAAGUGCAGCCUCGAAGCCCACCAGCAGUCCCGUCGCCCCCUUCCUCUACAGACCACAGUAGCCACUUUGCUAACUUUAAUGACAACAGCAGAGACAUCGAAGUAGCCAACAGCCCAGCAUUCCCACAGCGCCUCCCACCUCAGCUAUUCGGCCCCCCUUAUUCGUUGCAAUCUGAACACCUUGCCCCUCCCCCUCUGAAAUACCUGGCUCCGGAAGGAGCAUGGAAUUUUGCUAACUUGCAGCAGAAUCAUUUAAUAGGGCCGGGCUUUCCCUAUGGCCUACCUCCAUUGCCUCCCCGGCCACCACAGAACCCUUUUAUACACAUCCAGAACCAUCAACACGCUGUUGGUCAAGAGCCAUUUCACCCACUGCCAUCUCGAGCAGUGUCUUCUUCUUCGCUCCCCAGCCUAGAAGAGGUAAACAUCCAAUGCUCUUCUAUCUUGGGCUUAUCUGUCUGUGAGCAAACGCUGCCCCUGUUUAUCCUAUUUACCCACUUGAUAAAAGGAGGUUUCAUCAGACAGAGCAUCUUUAAAAAAUAAUCCUUUCUGAAAAAUACUUAUCUUUCUGUGCUGUUUCAGCUUUUGUGUGUGGUAUUGUUGAACAUGAAGCCUCUUAAAAAUAUUUUAUCGCUGUUUUGGCAUGCUUUACAUCAGAGGACUCUAUAUAGUAGCCUUUCUAAUCUCUGGGCAUGGAUAGACCUUGGUGGCUUAUCUUUUAUUAGGUUGAUCUUGCUAACUAGUACUUUUUAACUAGUGCUGCUUUUUCCAGUGAGUGUCAGUUCCAAGUGCUGGUUCUUCCUCUAUCAUUCUGAGCUUUUAGUUGAAUGUUAUUUAUGAAGUCGUAAGCACCUAGUCAGGCCAGUUUCCAAAUGCCAGAACAUUCUGUCAGUUAACAUAAGGCUGCUAAGACGGCAUCAGGAGAUAGAUGCAGCUUUCACCACAAGAUUCUCAGCUGCUCAUGCACAGCUGCACUGAUGUGGAACUUUUAGUGAUUUCAGGGGUUAACGUUUCCAAAAUAGGGCUGGAAGGCUCAGCACAGAACACCUCUGGGUACCCUUCCAGAAGACCUGGGCACUUCGCAGCACCUACGUGGUGACUCAUAACCUUCUGUAUGUAAUUCUAGUUUCAAGGGAGCUGGCACUUCUUCUGGAUUCUUUGGACAUCUGCAGGCAAAACAUGCAUACAUAUAAGUAAACAAGUUUCCCAGCUGUAUACUGUGUAGACUGUUAACUGUCUAGCUGUUCCCAGUUAGCUUACAGGGACUAAGAGUCAGACUGUGUAAAGGGAAUGGUAGUUAAUUGUUAGAGGUGUUUGUCUGAGACAGGGCUCAGUAUGUGGCCUAAACUGGUCUUCUAUUCAAGUCCUCUGAUCUUGGCCUCCCACACUUGGAUUGCAGGCAUAUACCCCCAUACCCGGCAAUUGAGGGACCUGAAUGAAAUGUCUUUCUUUGAAACAGGGACUCAGUGUGAGCUCAAAAUGGCCUUGAACCAGUAAUUGUCCUACUUGAGCUCCAGGAUUACAGACUUGAGCCACACGGCCAGUAAACAGAUCUGAUACAAUCUUCCAGUGAGCUGUGAGGAGAGUCAAUCAAAUCAGUUCUGUGAGAAUGAGGCCUCUUCUGCUUCCCCUGGCUGAAAGGGCUGAUAUUCAGGGCUGCCACAGAGCUGGAGAACAGAGAAUAUGACCCUUACCACAGAAUUUGUUGUUUUUAUGAAAUUCUCUGGUUUUUCUUGACUCAAUGUUCUCAUAGAAGCUACAGGCUUUAGUUUCUUAGUGCAAAGGGCCGUUUGCCACAGUUGGCAGUGUUUGUUGUUUUAAGGAGUCGCACUGAGCUGCUCUCCCGGUCCCUCUCCUCUCUUGCUGGAUGCACUCCUGGCAGUUGUGUGGGCCGUGUUGCAGCUCUCACAGGCCUCACAGCUUAUGCUUUGCAGGGAGCACUUCACACACUGAAGUCGUCUACUUUAAUCACUGAUCUUUUUAAGUGGUCCAUGAUUUGGGAAUUUAAGUUCUUUGUACUCUGAUGCUUUCAGUGUUUGGUUUCUUUGUGUCACUGUGAGCAUAUAAAUAUGCGUCUUCACUUGUCACUGACUUCAUUUGCUUUGCAAAACACUUGGUCAUUUCUUCUUACACCGGGUUCCCGAGCGAUGACUAAGCUGCAGCAAUUGAAGAAAUUCUUUGACAAGGAAAGCAUUAUUUUUACCACAUUGUAGAUUUUUGGCAUUUUCAAUGUAUUAGGGUAAGUUCUUUGUAUUCAAAGUGAUUUCGCAUGAAGCAUUUCUCACAAUGAAUGACAUAUGCUCAUACUGUUUAUUUCCAACCAUUUAAAGCAAUUUCUUUAACAAUUCAGAGAAAGUUGCUUUCUUCCCAGUUGGAUUCUUUUAUUCCAAGAAUCCUUGGCAGAUUAAUCUCAUGCGAUGAAAGUGCUUAGAUGUUAGCAUAACGCUUCCCUCGAGUGGAGAGCUGUCUUCAUCCCUUCACUCCUAGUUGGAACCUCACCACUAGCUAGACGGAGCGUUCUUGUGGAACAACAGAGUGCUCACAUAGCACUGCGCUGUGCCCCCGUUUCAGGGAAGAGCAAAUGCAGUCAGCAGAACUCCAGUAUUAGCUGGCCGGCCUCCAAGGGCGAGUUUUGGUUUUCCAGGCUGGAGACACUGCUGGUGGUUAAGGGCACUUACUGUUCUUGCAGAGGACCGGGUUCUGUACUCAGCGCCCAGAAGUGGAGCCCCAGAGGACCAGACACCCUCUUCUGGUCUCUGCAGGCUCCUGCGAGCACGCGGAGCACAUGUACUCGUGCAGGCUUACUAAACCUGUACACAGAAUGAUUGAUUUGGACGGCUGAUUUUGAUAUUGUGAAAAUGUUCAUUUUGCAUGAUGACUGUAUGGCCUCACCUCUGAGGAAGAAGCGACUCUCCAGGGUAUCCUGUAGUGAAGUCACUUUCUGGACUUGGCGCUUAUUUUUCUCCUUCAGUCUCUGUUCUGUACCAGAGUGACACUCUCAAUUCAGACGAGGCUUAAUGCUGUAACCAACACUGUGAACCUAGAGAUAGUAUGAAGCUUCUGACCUCUUCCUCUUCCUGUUCUGUAUGUGUGGAAGGAAGAGGAGGUGGCCAUUUCGAGAGUUUCCUACUAGAAGUUUAGAAUAUCGUCAAUUCUUUCUCUUCUGUAUAUGCCUCUAAAGCCUACUUUUGAUUUCUCUUUGAAGUAUAUCAAACUUAUAGCUUAAAUUGGAAGGAAUUUUAUCACUGACAUUCUUUGAGGUGCUCCUUUAGGAAACAGUCUGAGCUCCUAUGUGUUAAUUGUUCUCCCUCUCUCUGCUCCCUACCGUUCAUUUUGUGUGUUUCUCUUUAAAAUCUCUAGUGUCGUCAUUUCUGGCUCCCUGGGUUGUUGUUUUGUCUCAAGCUCUGUUCAUUGUUAUGAAUGCAAGCUUCUCCCAUUAUACCUUCCAGGCAUUUCAUCCUGAAAGACAAAUCCUCAUUCUCCUUAAGUGGCCGUAGAUUUGUCAAGUUAAGAAUUUCCGUUUACCACAGACUUGCAGUGCUGACACUGGCACAAAGCGCGCUCCUCCAUCUCAGAUGCUCUUCAGUCUGAAAUAGUCUGAUUAAAGAAAUAAAUGGAGAAAAUGAAAAAUGCUCUUCAGAUUGUCACUGCACCAGUCAGAACUGGUUUCUGGAAUUGCACAUUUUUGUUUGCAGUGAGAUAUUAUCAUAAAAGCCUCGUGAGAGAAUUGGAUCCCUGCUAGGGGUUUGGCUGGUGGUCAGGCACUUGCUCAGCAUGCUUAAGACUGCUCAGUUCUCCAGUUCUGGUGGGAGUGGGUGGCUGCCCAUUCUGGUCAGUGGUCAGUCAGUCAGUGUUAGAGUUGACGACGCCUCUGCUCUGGCCCUGCUGUGAAACACUUCUUGUUUUAGAUCCUGGCUUUUGAACUUUGCUUAUUUUCAUUUUUCUCUUAAGCACUUGUGGUUGCGCAUUCAUUAGUUUAGAUCUCACUGUGUUCUCUGGCCGUGUUUGCUCCUGGGUCCCCCUUGGAGCCAAGUGUCCUGCGGGAAGGCUAUCAUCCUGACCAAGGGCUGGGAGAGCUCGCUUCUUCUCACUGUCGAUGUACAUAUUGAUGGCUUGUGAUUUGUGUUGUGGAACCAGUUGGAAAUAUUGUUGUCUUCUUGGCUAGUAAACCUCCUAGAACAAGGAACAGUGAUCAACAGAUCAGUAAGCUAGACCACUCUUCGUUCCAAUUUGUCAAAGGUAAUCACUGAGAUGAGCCAUUGGGCUUUACUUAAAGUUCCCAACACCAUAAUAUGAGUUGAGAUUCCCAUUAGAGCACUUAGUUUUACCUUAGUGAUUGGCCUUGGGAGCAUAAUUAUAAAUAUAGAAGUUUUCAUAAUAUGCUAACCUUUCCCCCAGUUGUUUAUUUAAAUGCAUUCGUAUGAAAAGAUUUGCUAACCUUAACAUUGCAGCUAUGUCUUAGAGUAGCGAGCAAGCUAGGAAUUUUACUUAAAUUGACAACUAUAUUAAUACAAAUUUGUACACAAAUUUAGUAACUUUCUUACGUAGAGUUCCUAUAUUAACUAUAGUUCAUACAUUCAUGUUUUUGAAAUGUUAGUAUUACAGCUUACUAUUUAUAAAGAAAUACUAACAGUACAAAUUUAAAGUAAAACCAUAUGUUUGGUGACAUAAUGAUGUCAUAGUUCCACCUCGGAGAAUUUUUAAAAAAGAUUUUAUUUUGUGUUUGUGAGUGGUUGCCUGUGAUUAUGUAUGUGCAACAUGUGUGUGUCUGGUGCCCAAGGAAGCCAGAAGAGGACAUUGGCUCCCUGUAACUGGAGCUGUGGACAGUUGUGAGCUGCAGUGUGGAUGCUGGGAACUGAACCCUGUUCUCUGGAUGAGCUAUAAGUGCUCCUCCCCACGGAGCCACCGCUCUGUCUCUGGGAGCACUUCCUUUAACUCCUUGUUUAUCGUUGUCGUUAUCGAGUAUUAGGGAUUGAAGCUGGAUCCUCAUGUGUACCAGACCAAGAGCUGCUCCCUGAGCUCCAUCCCAGCUCUGUUUGUUUUCACUUCAAGACAGAGUCUCACUGUAUCACAGGCCAGCCUGGGGCUUGGUGUCUAUAGCCAAGUUGGACUUGAACUUUCCAUCCUCCUGCCUCAGCCUCCUGAAUAACUGGGAUAACAGACUUGUUCCAACAGACCUGGCAACUCAUUAUUUUCCUAAUAUUUUAAAUUACACGUGUUUUAUUUGUGUGUGUGUGUGUGUGUGUGUGUGUGUGUGUGUGUGUGUGUGUGUGUGUGUGUGAAGUAGGAGGUGGGAGGACAACUUACCCACUGAGCCAUCUCAACAGCUCCUGGGCACUUAUUUUUAAAGGAGACUGAGGCACAGAAAUGUUGAUCCUGUCUGGGGUCAGCAUUAAUGAAGUGGAAAUGUGUGCUUAGCAGGAAAGUGUAGGGAGCAAGGAAUGACUCCAGCUCUCAGAGCCGGAUGCUGCGGGGAGCACAUAUUUUUGGGACAAAGAGUUACAUUUUUAGCCAUCUAAAUUUUUCCCUUUUUGUGGGGGUGGAAGAAGCAAUUCUUCCAUUCUGGAAAUCCAUCUCAUUCUAGCUGCUGAAUGUUUGGAUUUUCAGACGACUAACUCUGAGCCCUCAAAUCUCAGGAAUUAACAAUAAGCAAUUCAUUUCCCAGUACUCUCUAAGAGCUGAGCGAAAGUUCUCUGAUGCUCUUCUUUUGAAAAGCUGAAAACCUUAGUUGUGGUCAUUUUGAUCCUCCAGAGAGAAAGCUGUUCCCAGUUGAAGGGUCUUCUGAACUGGUUUAUAUUUGGCUCAAACCGGCUCUGUCAUUUCCUUGUAGGAGGUGUCUUCAUAGACCAACUGUCCCCACUGAAAAUGAGUCGAGAAGUUGAAGCAGCCCAGAAUGCCACAGUGAUGCAGACAGAUUUCUCUUAGCUGUAGUGUUGUUUUGGUUUUCGUGUCUCCUCCAUGACUCACUGUUUGGGUGGAGGAAAAGACUGUUGGCAAUCUCCCAAGUGUCCUUUCCUGAGAGGGGUUCCUCACAAGGUGCUUCUCUUUAUGUGAGCCUUCCUGAAGGGCAUGGAGACACAGCAUCCCAGGUCACAGACGACCCUCAGCCACCUGAAGUCCUCUCUUCCUUUGGUAAUCUUCAUCCCAAUCUUUCUCCAUCUUUCCUUGUGAGACUUCUGUUAGUAAGGUGCUGGAUGUCUAGAAUUCUCCACGUCUCACUUUCUCCUGUCAUAUUUUAAAGUGCUUAUGUUCUCUACUUGGGGGAAUUUCUUCUUUUUCAAGUCUAUUUCUCUCUAUUGCAUUUUACAUUGGCUCAGUGGCUGGAAGCUUUUUCAUCACUAAGAAAGAAAUUGAAGCAAUUAUUCAGGAUUAUUUUACUCACCCCACAGCCCUGCCCUGUGCUGACCAUUGUGCCCAGGCCUUGGACAUAGAAUGCAGGCCCUCACCUUCCAUGCAGACCAUUCCCCACAGACCUUUGUUCUGAGUCUACAAUUGCAAUACUUAGUCCAUGAAUACCACUAGGGUUUGUUGUUUUAUUUUGGCUUAUAUUUGUAAUAAAACUAAGUUACUACUUUGAAAAAGCACUUUUGGGCAUCAGUUUUCACUUGCUUCAGCCCUUGUCUGUCACACUGUAAUCCCUUCAUCCUGCUUUCUUUUUUAGAUAUCUUUGUACCAAACCGUAGGUAUGCUACUUCAAAUGUAAGAUGAUAAAACCUCGUGGGGAUUUAAAUUAAAAUGUUAGUGGAGCAUGAGAGAGCUCCACAGUUGGAAGUUUCUUCUUCAAACAGUGAGAAAAUGAAAAGAUUCAUUUAAAUAAAUAAUCAGUUGUUAAAUAUGAGAUUCUAAGAGUUUUCAUGAUACAGAAAGACAUCUAUGACUUUUUAAAAAAGAUUUAUUUAUUUUUAUUUUAUGUCCAUGGCGUUUUGCUCGCAUGCAUGUAAGUGUGCAUGCCUGGUGCCCACGAGACCAGAAGAGACUGCCAGAUGCCUUGGAAAAGAGUCAUGGUGGUUGCCAGCCACCAUGUGGGUACUGGGAACUCAGCCCAGGUCCUUUGCAAGAGCCUUUCGUGUUCCAAACCGCUGAGGCGUUUCUUCAGCCUCUGUCUCUCUCAUGUUAAUGAGAAAUUACCAAGCCAAAUAGAAUACGAUUUGUUUUCAGAGAGUGUGCGUAUUCAUGUGCAAGUGGAAGGAAGUGUACACGAUGGGUAGUUUCCCACACUGGGAUGGUAACUUGUUGGCUGAGGUGAGGCACCAGGUACCAGCCAGUCUGCCCCAGUGCUUGUAGUAUUUCCCAACAACUUUCCUGGCUGGUGCUGUUGAUGGCUGUGGCUUUAGUCUUUUGUUUCAUUAGAGAUGCCAAAUAGUAUUUUAAAAGUUUUGAUUUUUUUCUUCUGUGUUUACUUUUCUUAUAUGAAGAAGGACAUUGAGGAUGAUAAAAUACUAAAUACUAAAAUACAGUCUAUAUGGGAAAGGCAGAUAAAUAAUUUAUUGUCCUGUAUUCAUUUUUAGGCUAGUAUCCAGUAUACAAGCAGGAUUCAAGGAUGGCUGUUGAGGCCUUUUUCUUGUUUUUACUUUGAAUAUCAUUAUGAAUCAAGCAUCAUUACGUAUUUGAAUUUCCAGCGUAUUGUAGUUACACUGUUUGAUAUCUCAUUCUGUAUCUGGACCCUAAUCUUUUAAGAAUCCCAUUCUGGUUCCUGUUUUCCAGAUGUCUGUGCAUAAUGCAGAUCAAUGGCUUAUUGUGUGUUAGAAAGUAAGCAGGCGGCACGUCUGAGCUCAUGGACUGCUGUCACAGCAGCAUCGGAGGGAAUGUGAAGUGCUUAAAGUAGAAAAGAGACAAGAUGUCAGAUGAGAGCCCUAGGCCACCACCUUAAGAAAUCGUAAAAGGAAGAGCGAGAUAGACUCCAGGAAACGAGACUGAUGAAGAGAUUCAGUAUUGCAGAGAACAUUAGAGAAGAAAGAGUCCGUGAAACCCACAGUUGGUCCUCUGUAAAGGGAAUGCAAAUAGCAUUUAGCAAGAUUAGUGAGGGCCUAACUUCUUCUGCACGCUCCUCUUUCUCUCUCCCUCUGCCUGCUGAAUAUCUAGAUGUCAUUACUGACCCUCAUGCGUGCCGCUGGUUAGUGCCGAAAUUCUUUCUGCUUUGAGUCCCGUGAAUCCAUGAGUUGAAGGCCGUAAAGGUCUGGGGGACUCCUCAGGCAUUUCCAGUGGGAAGCUAUGCCUCACUUUUGUCUCCCCAAAUGCUGAUAUCUUGGGGUCUUGUUUGGAAUCUGUCUGAAGCAUUGUUGACUCACUUGAUGAUAUUCCGGUGCCUGUGCUCAAACUGUAUCGUGUUAGUGUAGACAGACUGGACUUUUGGUCCUUGAGUAGAUAGGGCCAAUGACUGCUUAAUUGUAGAAAAUGGAGUGUUAGCCUUCUGAGACCCUAAGACUGAGAAUCCAGAGUCUCGAGGAGAAUUGAGGCAGGAUAGAAAGAUGGAAAAUUAUGGGAGACAUGGAGGGGAAGGAGUCCCUCACCCACCUGCUAAUCACGGACUCCCUAGGUGUCCUUCUCUAGGCUGCAGCAGCUGCUCCAGGAGGGACAGGUGCACAGUGGCACUCUCUUCCCCUUGGAAAGCAGCGAGCCUGACCCAUGCGUUUAGCCAUGUCUGCCCUCCUGAGUGCCCCCUUCUCUCAACUCCUGAGCUUCAGUCUGUGACAAAUACUCAGCCCCCAAGACGGACAAGAGGAAAUAGCCUGGCCAUACCAGGAACAAAAGGAAGGAUGCCACCACAGACGAGGUGUCUCUGAAAGGAUGGUACUAGGAGGCUUGCAAACAGUCUUCAACAGCGUAGUAUGAGCCCAGAGGACCUGGUCGGCCCUUGUACCAAAGAAGAAUCUCAUCUGGCGCAGCCCAGC